GGGUCAGUAGGUUGGUCGUGCCACCGGUACGUACUGGUCUCACUGAUUCCUCCUUCCUGAAGAACCGUAAUGCCACUAAUUUGGUGUUGCGGGGAAACAGGACUGUUACUUUGAAAAAAUUAGAGUGUUUAAAGCAAGCUAACGCUUGAAUACAUUAGCAUGGAAUAAUGAAAUAGGACGAUCGAUCCUAUUUUGUUGGCUUCUAGGAUUGACGUA
rnacentral:rRNA from 1 species